rnacentral:rRNA from 1 species
UGGGGAAUAUUGGGCAAUGGGCGCAAGCCUGACCCAGCAACGCCGCGUGAAGGAAGAAGGCUUUCGGGUUGUAAACUUCUUUUAAGUGGGAAGAGCAGAAGACGGUACCACUUGAAUAAGCCACGGCUAACUACGUGCC